AAUCUUCAUUAUACACAUCUAUAAAUACAUGAGGUCGUGACUCAUAUAGGUCAUCGUGCCAUUCAAUCUAACAAUAUGAAUUUGUAGGCUUUAUCUCAAAUUG